CUACGGGGCCUGGGCGCAGCCUGAUCAGCCAUGCCGCGUGCAGUGACGACGGCCUUCCGGUUUGUAAGCUGUUUUUCCCGGGGAAAAAUAAUCCCGACUAGUCGGGAGACGACAGUACCCCGGGAAUAAAGAUCGGCUAACUCCGUGCCAUCCCCCGCGGUAAUACAGAAGAUCCGAGCGUUAUCCUGAUUUACAGUGUUUAAAGGGUGCGUAGGCGGGUCGUUAAGUCAGCGGUGAAAUGCGGGGGCUCAACCUUCGAGCUGCCGCCGAAACUGGCGACCUUGAAUUCAGUCGAGGCCGGCGGAAUGCGUGGUGUAGCGGUGAAAUGCUUAGAUAUCACACGGAACGCCGAUUGCGAAGGCAGCUGGCCGGGCCGAGAUUGACGCUGAGGCACGAAAGCGUGGGGAUCAAACAGGAUUAGAUACCCUGGUAGUCCACGCUGUAAACGAUGAUCACUGGAUGUUGGCGAUACACCGUCAGCGUCUGAGCGAAAGCAUUAAGUGAUCCACCUGGGGAGUACGGUCGCAAGAUUGAAACUCAAAUGAAUUGACGGAACGCGCGGGGGCCCCCGGGGAAC
rnacentral:rRNA from 1 species